GUCUGCGGCCUAUCAGGGUUGUAGUGGGUGUAACGGACCUACUAGCCUACGACGGGUACGGGUUGUGAGAGCAAGAGCCCGGAGAUGGAUUCUGAGACACGAAUCCAGGCCCUACGGGGUGCAGCAGGCGCGAAAACUUUACAAUGCGGGAAACCGUGAUAAGGGAAUCUCGAGUGCCAGCAUAUAAUGUUGGCUGUCCAGAUGCCUAAAAAGCAUCUGUUAGCAAGGGCCGGGCAAGACCGGUGCCAGCCGCCGCGGUAACACCGGCGGCCCGAGUGGUAACCGCUUUUAUUGGGUCUAAAGGGUCUGUAGCCGGCCAAGUAAGUCCCUUGGGAAAUCUGGCAGCUUAACUGUCAGGCUGCUAGGGGAUACUGCUAGGCUUGGGACCGGGAGAGGUGAGAGGUACCUUGGGGGUAGGGGUGAAAUCUUGUGAUCCUCGGGGGACCACCAGUGGCGAAGGCGUCUCACCAGAACGGGUCCGACGGUAAGGGACGAAAGCUAGGGGCACGAACCGGAUUAGAUACCCGGGUAGUCCUAGCCGUAAACGAUACUCGCUAGGUGUCGGCCACGGUGCGACCGUUGUCGGUGCCGUAGGGAAGCCGUGAAGCGAGC
rnacentral:rRNA from 1 species